rnacentral:rRNA from 1 species
AGAGUUUGAUCCUGGCUCAGGAUGAACGCUGACAGAAUGCUUAACACAUGCAAGUCUUUGGCGAAGCUGUGCUUGCACAGCCUAGCCAAGGCGGACGGGUGAGUAACGCGUAAGGAACUUGCCCUGCAGUCAGGGAUAACAGACGGAAACGACUGAUAAGACCUGGUAAAGUCAGGCGGACUCAUGUCCAGCCUGAUGAAAAGAGAUGCUGCAGGAGAGCCUUGCGUCCUAUUAGCUUGUUGGUGGGGUAACGGCCCACCAAGGCGAUGAUAGGUAGCCGGCCUGAGAGGGUGGACGGCCACAAGGGGACUGAGAUACGGCCCUUACUCCUACGGGAGGCAGCAGUGGGGAAUAUUGGACAAUGGGGGCAACCCUGAUCCAGCAAUUCUGUGUGCACGAUGAAGGUUUUCGGAUUGUAAAGUGCUUUCAGCAGGGAAGAAAAAAAUGACGGUACCUGCAGAAGAAGCGACGGCUAAAUACGUGCCAGCAGCCGCGGUAAUACGUAUGUCGCAAGCGUUAUCCGGAAUUAUUGGGCAUAAAGGGCAUCUAGGCGGCCAGAUAAGUCUGGGGUGAAAACUUGCGGCUCAACCGCAAGCCUGCCCUGGAAACUAUGUGGCUAGAGUACUGGAGAGGUGGACGGAACUGCACGAGUAGAGGUGAAAUUCGUAGAUAUGUGCAGGAAUGCCGAUGAUGAAGAUAGUUCACUGGACGGUAACUGACGCUGAAGUGCGAAAGCUAGGGGAGCAAACAGGAUUAGAUACCCUGGUAGUCCUAGCUGUAAACGAUGAUUACUGGGUGUGGGCAUGAAGAGUGUCCGUGCCGAAGCUAAUGCGAUAAGUAAUCCGCCUGGGGAGUACGGCCGCAAGGCUGAAACUCAAAGGAAUUGACGGGGACCCGCACAAGCGGUGGAGCAUGUGGUUUAAUUCGAAGCAACGCGAAGAACCUUACCAGGUCUUGACAUCCCUCUGACCGCUCUAGAGAUAGAGUUUUCCUUCGGGACAGAGGUGACAGGUGGUGCAUGGUUGUCGUCAGCUCGUGUCGUGAGAUGUUGGGUUAAGUCC